CAUUCUGACUCCCAGCCCUGGAGCAACACAUCAGAAGGCUUUCAAGGCUAUGGGGCUUCUAGAGCCAGAAUUCUCAGGUCAUUGUCCUCAGUACCAGCACUGUAGGGCUCCACCUGCUUGCAGCUUGGGGAAGAAGAAAGGCUGGCUGCCCAGAGCCACAGCCUAGCUUGGGUGGGAGGAAGAUAGAGGAGCUGUCUCCUCUUCUCACUCUUCUUGUCCAGGUGGAUGAGAUGGAAACCAUCUCACAUGGAGAAAUGUUAAGGGAGAAGACUCUUCAUUGUAUGCAAUGGGCAUGCAGCCUGCUACAGCACAGAAUCUACCAGGUUCAUGGAAUCUCAAUGUUUAACAGAACUUGAAAAUUCCUCCAACUGCAGAAAUUCCUUUCAAGCACCUCUGAUUGAUGCCCCAUAGCCUUGGGUUUAACAUGCAGGAAGAUGGGUGCCACCCACCCUCUGCCUUCUCACCAGACAGCCUAUUCCAUUUAUUGAAUAGUUCUAAUCAUUAAAACAUUCUUCUUUAUUUUGCAUCAAUGUCUCCCUCCUGAUAACUUCCACCAAUUAAUCCUAGUUUGAUCUCCUGUAAUUAAUCCAUUCCGUUUUUCACGUGAUAGUAUUUUGAAUUUAUGAAGGCAGCUAAAAGUUCCUCUGGAGUCUUCUUGAUCCUUCAGCAUCCUCCGGUUAUUUUUCCAUUAUUUCUAUUCAGAUAUUCCUCAAGGAGAAAAAACAUACCAAAAGGUCCUAGAUUGUCUCCAGCCUAAAUUAGGCUCAUGUACGGUUUCCUCUUGUUCCAUUACUGUGUUCCAGUCCAAAUGUUUGGGUAACUACCGGUACUAUAUAUUCUGCUGAGAGCUGGGAAGAAUUAAGAAAAUAAGAUGUGGUCUCUGCUCUUGGUUGUAUAACAGGAGCAUUAACAACUAAAUGGGA
rnacentral:lncRNA from 1 species